rnacentral:lncRNA from 1 species
UGAUCUUUUGUUUGUAGGCUGACUUCAUCCUUAAAGAAACAAAUUAGGUGUGUCAGCAAUCACAUACUGAAGUUCCAUCAGUAGAUGGCAUCUGGUAUCCCAGAGCAGCAUGCUUAGUCUUAACAUACUCUUUUGAUACUCAGACAGAGGCACACUCUAGAUCAGCUAUUCUGUUAGAAUCAGCUUUUCACCUGCUACAAUGACAGCUUGAUCCUGAAAUGAGAUCAGCCUGCAAUGAAGUUACUGGGAUCUUCUGUAACAGAGGAUUUGGUGAGGGCUGAAUCCUCCCAGACAUGAGCAGGCAAGAAAGGGAAGUGUUCCAGUGCCUGUAUUCCUCACCUGGGAAUGUACUGUGUAAUGCCACCUUGUGGAGCUGUGCUAUAUUUAUCCAGAGGAAAAUGAGUAAUAAAUUCUGAAAGGAGAAUUUUAAGGGAAGAUAUGAAUGAGAACCAGAAAGUCCCUUUCUGGAAGAUCAUGACAGAAAGUAUAGAGGUGCCUGUCUAAAAGAUUAACAAGAAGAUGAUGGGAGCUGUCACUAUAGCUUGAUUGGAGGCCUCUAAAUACUUGAUGAGAGGUGAUGGGUAGGAAGGAUCAGUCAUAAUGAGCUUGAAAUGUGAUGGCAAAUACCUUAUGGUUAAUGCAAUAGAGAAGGGAUGGUCAGCAAAAAG